UUGCAGCCAUUUCACAUUGAAACACCAGUUCUCGUUCGAUUACCGAAGUUAAGCAACGUCGAGGCUGGUCAGUAUCGUGAUGAAUGACCACUUGGGAAUACCAGGUGUUACAA